rnacentral:rRNA from 1 species
GGGAGUGAAAUAGAACCUGAAACCCUGCACUUACAAGCUGUGGAAGCACAUUUCUUGUGUGACCGCGUACUUUUUGUAGAACGGGCCAACGAGUUACGUUAAGUAGCAAGGUUAAGCACUUAAGGUGUGGAGCCGUAGCGAAAGCGAGUUUUAACUGAGCGUUCAGUUACUUGACGUAGACCCGAAACCGGGCGACCUACCCAUGAGC